GACAGAGGAUGCAAGUGUUAUUCGGAAUGAUUGGGCGUAAAGAGUCUGUAGGCGGUUUAGAAAGUCUUUUGUGAAAUACUUCAGCUCAACUGAGGCUCCGCAAAAGAAACUUCUAGACUUGAGGAAAGUAGAGGUACAGGGAAUUUCCGGUGGAGCGGUGAAAUGCGUAGAUAUCGGAAGGAACACCAAUAUGGCGAAGGCACUGUACUGGGCUUUUCCUGACGCUAAGAGACGAAAGCUGAAGGAGUGAUUAGGAUUAGAUACCCUAGUAAUUUCAGCCGUAAACGAUGAAAACUCACUGUCGAGCCAAUAUAUGGAGCGGUGGUCAAGCUAACGCGUGAAGUUUUCCGCCUGGGGAUUACGCUUGCAAAAGUGAAACUCAAAGGAAUUGACGGGGACCCGCACAAGCGGUGGAGUAUGUGGUUUAAUUCGAUGCAACGCGAAAAACCUUACCAGGGUUUGAAAUAAUUUCAAAACUUCUUGAAAGAGAAGCCUCCUUCGGGAUGGAAUUACAGGUGGUGCAUGGCUGUCGUCAGCUCGUGUUGUGAAAUGUCAAGUUAAGUCUUGUAACGAGCGCAACCCAUGUCUCUUGUUGCUGUUUACAGUGCUUAAGAGAAACUGCCGAUCAACAUCGGAGGAAGGUGUGGAUGAUGUCAAGUCAGCAUGCCCCUUACAUCCUGGGCUACACACGUACUACAAUGGUCGAGACAAAGGGUCGCUAACCUGCGAAGGUAUGCCAAUCUCAUAAACUCGAUCUCAGUUCGGAUUGUACUCUGCAACUCGAGUACAUGAAGGUGGAAUCGCUAGUAAUCGCUGGUCAGCAUACAGCGGUGAAUACGUUCCCGGGUCU
rnacentral:rRNA from 1 species